UCGAUGCGUAUGAGAAUGGUCUGACCCAUAAAAUAAAUUUGAAGGAAAAUUAGGGUUGCCUAAUUUUUGUCCUCUCCCGCGCUGCUUGUGUUCGAAGAAGGGUGAAAGUGUAUGUGACUGCCAUGGUGGUGGGAAUAGCUUCAAUGACGGGCAACUUGACGAUGGUGGAUUCUUCUAAGAUGAGUAGGAUGUGAAGUUCUUCAAGAGAUAUGGUACCACUUCGAGUCCUGAUUGAUGUAUGAAAAGCAUUGAAGGAUGCAGGAAGACCAUUUAAGAAAAUAAUGAUAUAGACAUCACAACAAGUUCAACACAAUGAAAAUCACUUAAAUUAGAGCAAAACAAGCAAGAAGGAGCCAAAAAAACAUGUAGUGACAUUUUUGUAAAUGUUUAGAAGCCAAUGCCUCCCUACUGCGUGACUUUAGAGCACAACACCAAAAAGGAAAUAGCUGCAAAAUGGAGAAGCAUCGUGGCACUCAACUCAAUGUUGUGGUACCUAUGCAAAAAAUGAUCAAGCGUCACAAUGCUUCAAACAUUAAUGGAAAAAACGUGUCACGUUCUUUUAGUUGACCUUUUGACUUCUUUACGCGUAAUAUUUCCUAGUAAUAAGAUACUAGCACUCAUUUUUUUAAUUUUCCACUCAAAUUACUCUCAAUUCCAUUUUGAAUCCUCUCUACAAAUUUAAAAAAAUUCUCUCAAUUCCUUGUAAUAAGAUACUAGGCUUUCUUGUUCAUAUUCUUUGGGGUUACAUUAUUGAUGUCUGCAGGCAAACUAGGUAAGGUAACUUUCUUGGGAAAUGUUUGUUUUCUAUAAUUUUCUUUGAGAAUGCAUCUUUAAUUGUCUUUUAAAUUGA